rnacentral:rRNA from 1 species
UACGUAGGGGGCGAGCGUUGUCCGGAUUCAUUGGGCGUAAAGCGCGCGUAGGCGGCCCCGCAAGUCGGCCGUGAAAUCUCCAGGCUCAACUUGGAGGGGUCGGGCGAGACUGCGGGGCUCGAGGUGGGCAGAGGGCAGUGGAAUUCCGGGUGUAGUGGUGGAAUGCGUAGAGAUCCGGAGGAACACCAGUGGCGAAGGUGGCUGCCUGGGCCUGGCCUGACGCUGAGGCGCGAAAGCGUGGGGAGCGAUCCGG